GCCAAAAAUCUAGCCCCAAACAACCCAAACCUCAACACAUUUUACCGCCCCAUCAAAACAUUUAUUAAAUUUAGUAGAGGCGAUCGAAAGAUUAAUCGGCGCGAUAUUCACAGUACCGCAAGGGAAAGAUGAAAUAAAAAAUGAAAAAACCUUAAGCACCCAAAAAGCAGAGAUUUCACCUCGUACCUUUUGCAUCAUGGUUUAACUAGUCUAAUCAAGCGAAAAGACUUAAAGUUUGACCCCCCGAAACUAAGCGAGCUACUUCAAGGCAGCCAAACGAGCGACCCCGUCUCUGUUGCAAAAGAGUGGAAAGACCUUCAAGUAGAGGUGAUAGACCUACCGAGCUUAGUGAUAGCUGGUUACUCAAGAAACGGAUUUUAGUCCAACCUAAUGUUAAUCAAAUAGAACAAAAUUUAACCAUAACUUUAGAGUAAUUCAAAUAAGGUACAGCCUAUUUGACACAGGAUACAACCUCAAUUAACGGGUUCUAUAUCUAGCACAACUUAAUCAAGUGGGCCCGAAAGCAGCCACCUUUCAAAAAGCGUCAAAGCUUAGUCAUUCCCUACUACAAUCCCUAAAUUUUUACCCAACCCUUUUACAGUAAUGAGUAAUUCUAUACCCCUAUAGAACUUUUUAUGUUAAAACUAGUAAUAAGAAGAUGACCCUUCUCUUAAAUGCAAACGUACACCAGAAAGGACACACCACUGGUAAUUAACACCCAUGAGCUGCUAAUAACAACGACAUGGAAAACCUCUAUUUUUUAUGAUGUUAACCUAACACAAGAGCAUUAAAAGAAAGAUUUAAAGGAAAAGAAGGAACUCGGCAAACAUUAACCCCGCCUGUUUACCAAAAACAUCGCCCCUCGAACAAACAUGAGGGGUCCAGCCUGCCCAGUGACUCUGUUCAACGGCCGCGGUAUCCUGACCGUGCAAAGGUAGCGUAAUCACUUGUCCUUUAAAUGAGGACUGGUAUGAACGGCACCACGAGGGUUAUACUGUCUCCUUUUUCUAAUCAGUGAAACUGAUCUCCCCGUGAAGAAGCGGGGAUAUUUAUAUAAGACGAGAAGACCCUAUGGAGCUUUAAACGAAAUGACAGCCGCCAACCCCCUCAAACUUCAGAGCACCCACCUUUAUUCUGGCGGCAUGAUUAUUAGUUUUAGGUUGGGGUGACCACGGAGAAUAACUCAACCUCCGUGUUGAAAGAGGACCUUCCCCUAAGCAAAAAGCCACACCUUGCUGCAUCAAUAAAUUGACACCCAUUGACCCAAUAUUUUGACCAACGAACCAAGUUACCCUAGGGAUAACAGCGCAAUCCAUUUUGAGAGCCCAUAUCGACAAAUGGGUUUACGACCUCGAUGUUGGAUCAGGGUAUCCCAGUAGUGCAGCCGCUACUAACGGUUCGUUUGUUCAACGAUUAAAACCCUACGUGA
rnacentral:rRNA from 1 species